rnacentral:misc_RNA from 1 species
GGUGCAUAAAGGGAAGAUUGGUGAUGGUAACAGCCGCAAGGAUAGUGAUAAAUCUGUUGAGGAAUUUCUCUUAGUUUUACUCCGUGCACUUGACAAACUCCCUGUAAAUCUUCAUGCUUUGCAAAUGUGUAACAUUGGUAAGUCAGUGAAUCACCUGCGCACACAUAAGAACUUGGAGAUUCAGAAGAAAGCAAGGAGUCUGGUUGACACGUGGAAGAAGCGUGUUGAGGCUGAAAUGGAUGCAAAGUC